AUAACAUCUGGCUUGAGCUCUGCAAGGAGACUGCUUUAAACCUGGGACUUUCAGCCACCAGGUUCCAGAUGCUAACAUGAUGCCAAGUGGACUUCCCUGGGCAGAAGACCCCACCAAUAUGUCCUGGAGCCCCGCUUGCCCAGAGCUUCACCCCACUAGGGAAAGAAAGAAGCAGGCUGGGAGUAUGGAUCACCUGUCAAUGCCCAUGUUCAGUGGGGAAGCAAUUACAGAAACCAGACCUUCCACCAUCAGCACCCCAUAAUGACCCUGGGUGUCCAUACUUUCAGAGGGAUAAAGAAUAGGAAAGCUAUCAGGGGAGGGGAGUGGUGGGGGUGGGAUAGUGAGUUCUAGUUGUGGGAAUUGUGUGAAGUUGUACCCCCUCUUAUCCUUUGUUUUUUGUCAGUGUUUCCUUUUUAUAAAUAAUUUUUUUUUAAAAGACUAGGGGAGCUGUCAAGGGAGUAGAUUGCAUAUGGAGUUCUGGGGGUGGGAAUUGUGUGGAAAUGUACCCCUCUUAUCCUAUAGUCUUGUCAAUAUUUCCAUUUUAUUAAUAAAUAU